rnacentral:lncRNA from 1 species
GCGGUCGUUUGGAAGAAGCUGUCCUUGCGGUAUGUUUUAACUCACACCGCCUGAUAGUAUGCGUUACAAUUAGCAGCAGCUAUCAUGUCCAUCACCUAAAAAUCAUUAGCAGGCGAUCAUAAUUUUUCUUAUAUAAAGAAUAUGAUCAGCUUUUGCUUGGAAGAUUGUUAUUCGGUAAGAGAAAAUGCAUCAAACUGUUUAAAUCAAACCAAAGUUUUCUUUCAGUCCUUUUUAAGCAUAAAUGAUCGAUCAAUGUUUAUGAUAAACUGUUUGCUAUAAGGACAAAGGUUAAUGAAGUCCAGGCAACACAUACUCUGAUUAUCAAUACCAUAUUCAGUUUUAAAAUCUAGGUGUUCAAGCGUCAAGCUUUACCAAUACCAAUUCAAAAGCAUCAAGCUUUAAUAGGUAUGAAGGUAUCCCCAGCAGAGUGGGUAAAAAAGCCCCAAAUUGGAAAAACUAUUCAAGAGCAGAAACUCCAGUUACUGUUCAUUUUUGAUAUGCAUGAUACCAACCUAUACUAUUGGUGGUUUACAAAACCAAACUGCAUGUCAUAACACUAGAAUCUAGAUUCUAGUGUUAAACUAGGUUUCAAACUUUGCGACCAUUUUCCAUACCUCAGAGUACUGUAUCUGAGCAGCUUUCUGCUGGGGUAAACUUAUUUGCUUGCUUUGUGUUCUUUUAACAAAGUAACAUUUAUGUGUAUUGCCAACAAUUUCUUAAGGUCACUAUGAGGGUCCAUACAGGCGUGUAUUUAGUCCCACAUCGGCUAUGCACUAGGUAGAUAUUAGGUACUUAUACAGGGCCAAGGAACCUAAAAAAUAAUCUUCACCUAGCUUUUUUGGAUGAGGUUCUGAGUUGUGACAGUCAGACAUCCAGUUGAAAGAUCAUAUUGUAUAAGCCCUGGACCAAUUAGUAUUGCAUAGUGAUGAGAUGUUGAAGUGACUUUGCAAUGCAUCAUUCAUGAAACAUUGAUAGGAUUAGAAAAUGAAAUUGUGGUAGUCAUAAGACAUUCUAUAUCUGAGAAUGAUUGGCAUGGCAGAUGACCAAGGCAUAAUUGUUGAGAUGUUGAAUUAAGCAACUUUGUGCUUUCAAUUGGGCAGUCCACAGCAUCACACUUUUUGGUUUUCAGAAAAUGACUUUGCCUGUUUUUGCACAGGCUGAAAGGGCUCUGUUUUGGGGAUGCCAUAAGCUCUGUUUUGCUUGGAUUGAUGAGUGGUUUGGGAUGACUAUGGACCAAGUGUGUGAGCUGGAAAGGGAAAAUGAUUUAUUACUCAAUAAGGUAAGUUAUUUAUAACUCACAUGAUAUUGUUUAUGAAUAAUUUAUCCUCUCUAAUAACCAGCAUUAUGAAAGAUGUGUGCAAUUUAAAUCAUAGAAGCUUUCAGUAUCUCCAAUCAUGGAUUUCUUGCUUAACAUAUAAAGUUAAGACUGAUAACAAAAGGCUCUUUUAUGACUUAACCGAAAUCCUCAAGUUUUAGCAAGUUUUCCAUCUGUUUAUUUAUUAAGGUAAUGCAAUUGGUUGUUAUUUACCUCACUGCUUCAUAAAUCCAUAGUCACUUAAAUGCCAACUUACUAGAAGUAGGUCAUAGAUGGCUCAUACUGUAUACCAUAUCAAUACCAAGAUGGGAGACACUUAGAUAGCAAGGCUUCUCAUUAUCUGUUCCUAAAGAGCUGGACCUCAUAACUUUCACAACUAAUGACUCUACACAGUAACACCACUACUUUCUUUUUUUCUUGUUAAAUCAGAGGCUCCAGAAAUCAUAUUCGGUGUCCGGGAAGCGAGAUGACAAAAGGAAGAGUCUGCAUGGCAGCAAGAAGAUCAUCGAACAUCCAAUCAAGUUGUAGAUAAUGAUCAUUGGAUGCAACUUUUGUUAGAUAAGCAUUCCACCUAUGCAUCACAAAGAUGAGAGAGUGCGCUGCAUGUUUAUUGGGAUGCACUGCACGCUUGCUGGGCUGGGGUCAAAGAAACUUAAUCAAUACAUCUGAUUCAAGCAGUAAUUAUAUGCAAAAUAUUUCCAAUUUGCAAUUGUUUCCUCGCUCUCACCGGUCCCUCACGACAAUGUAAGAAAUUUGUUGUAAAAAGAAAUCUAUUUCCAUAGAUAGAUGAUAGAAUUUGAUUUCUCCGAGCAUAUUUUUGAAAUCAUGGACAAUCACAUGACUUUGAAUUCAUUUUUUUAAAAAGCAUAACUUCAAGCACCUGAUAUGCAUGGCGAGGAGCCACUGCAACAUUAGAAAUUUUAAGUUUAAGAACAUUCUGAGAGAUUUGUUAAAUGGAACACGCGACAGAAACUGAAACUGCUUGUAUCCAUUAAUAAAAUUCGAGAACAAAAAUAACCAGCUUCUAAGCACCAAACUCAGUUCAAAGCAACAGCAGAUAUUUCCAGACUUGACUUGAGAAACAACCAGAUAUAGAAUAAGGAAAACAGAAGCAAGAUUGGCUACAAGAAUUAUAUCAAACACAUCUUACAGCAGAUCUCACCAUCAGCCACCAUCGAGCCGAUGAAGGAAACCGGACUCCAUGAAACGAGGAAGUUCUGUCGCAUCUAAUAUCGUAUUAGGUGUCGGAACGGUAGUUGGGCCGUUAGCGUCGCCGCGUGCGGGCUCCGGCGCGACCUACGACUUGGGCCUCCACGAGUCAGCUGGGCUGCGCCCGGAAAACGCGAAAUAAAAUUAAGGCAAGCAGUAUUUUAUGAGCAUAAACUUGUGGUGCGACGCCACCCAAGAUUUAUUCCGAAAUUUUCCUGUCCAUUUCAAAGGGAUCGGGUUGUAUCUUUGGUGUUCUUUCCUCAAACAGCUGGUGCCAGAAUGGAAGAAAAAAGUUAAAAGUAUUCUAAGAACUGUGCAAUACAUGACCCAAACAUCAUAAAAGAAGAGCAAUCAUUUUUUCGAGCGAAAGAGACAACUCGAACCCAUUUCCAAAACAACCAAAAGGCUAUGCGUAAGAAUAAUUAUCCCAUCAAAAGACAGAAGAAAAGUCUGUGCAUUGCAUCCCUGAACAAAAGGAUAGAAUUCCUGUCACUUUCUCACAGCACCUAUUUUAUUUAAAGGUUACAGGGACAAGGAUUAGACAACAACUCUAUGGGAAAGUAUCUACCAUGCUUAACAGCUUUUUAGUAACUAAAACAUAUGAACAUAUUCACUGGAGUUGCAUGAAAUCA